rnacentral:misc_RNA from 1 species
CAACUGCGAUAACUAGUGCGAACUGCAGAUAUUUUGAGCACUAAAGUUUCGAAUGCACAUUGCGCCAUUGGAUUUACUCUCCAAUGGCACGUCUGGCUCAGGGUCGUAAAUUCAAAACCCCACGAAAAUGGUGGUGAAACUCUUUGUGAGGAUUGUUGCGAAUUUGGUCCGCACUUGUUUCUUUGUGCUGCUCUUGGACCAAACAAAGCAACACUCCCACUGAGCAUUUACACUGCUCAUCGCACGGUUCAUUUAUUCGAAAGUCCUAACGCUUAUAUGGACUACGGUAAUUGAGCUAUUGUGGUGGGAGUAGUCGAUUUUUCGACCUGAACUCAGACGUGAUCACCCGCUGAACUUAAGC